CCUACGGGUAGCAGCAGUCGAGAAUCAUUCACAAUGGGGGAAACCCUGAUGGUGCGACGCCGCGUGGGGGAAUGAAAGUCUUCGGAUUGUAAACCCCUGUCAUGUGGGAGCAAAUUAAAAAGAUAGUACCACAAGAGGAAGAGACGGCUAACUCUGUGCCAGCCGCCGCGGUAAUACAGAGGUCGCAAGCGUUGUUCGGAAUCACUGGGCGUAAAGCGUGCGUAGGCUGUUUCGUAAGUCGUGUGUGAAAGGCGCGGGCUCAACCCGCGGACGGCACAUGAUACUGCGAGACUAGAGUAAGGGAGGGGGAACCGGAAUUCUCGGUGUAGCAGUGAAAUGCGUAGAUAUCGAGAGGAACACUCGUGGCGAAGGCGGGUUCCUGGACAUUAACUGACGCUGAGGCACGAAGGCCAGGGGAGCGAAAGGGAUUAGAUACCCCAGUAGUC
rnacentral:rRNA from 1 species